rnacentral:rRNA from 1 species
AGAGUUUGAUCCUGGCUCAGAACGAACGCUGGCGGCAUGCCUAAUACAUGCAAGUCGAACGCUCUUGGGAUUUCGGUCUCAAGGGAGUGGCGCACGGGUGAGUAGCGCGUGGGAACCUGCCCUGUUGUGGGGGAUAACCGAGGGAAACUUCGGCUAAUACCGCAUGCGCCCCCGGACGAGCCGCGAGGCGAGAUCCGGGG